rnacentral:rRNA from 1 species
AUUGAACGCUGGCGGCAGGCUUAACACAUGCAAGUCGAGCGGGGGAGGUUGCUUCGGUAACUGACCUAGCGGCGGACGGGUGAGUAAUGCUUAGGAAUCUGCCUAUUAGUGGGGGACAACAUUCCGAAAGGAAUGCUAAUACCGCAUACGCCCUACGGGGAAAGCAGGGGAUCUUCGGACCUUGCGCUAACAGAUGAGCCUAAGUCGGAUGAGCUAGUUGGUGGGGUAAAGGCCUACCAAGGCGACGAUCUCUAGCGGGUCUGAGAGGAUGAUCCGCCACACUGGGACUGAGACACGGCCCAGACUCCUACGGGAGGCAGCAGUGGGGAAUAUUGGACAAUGGGCGGAAGCCUGAUCCAGCCAUGCCGCGUGUGUGAAGAAGGCCUUUUGGUUGUAAAGCACUUUAAGCGAGGAGGAGGCUACUAGUACUAAUACUACUGGAUAGUGGACGUUACCCGCAGAAUAAGCACCGGCUAACUCUGUGCCAGCAGCCGCCGUAACAC